rnacentral:rRNA from 1 species
UACGUAGGGGGGCGAGCGUUGUCCGGAUUCAUUGGGCGUAAAGAGCUCGUAGGCGGCUUGGCAAGUCGGGUGUGAAACCUCCAGGCUCAACCUGGAGCUGCCACUCGAUACUGCCAUGGCUAGAGUCCGGUAGGGGACCACGGAAUUCCUGGUGUAGCGGUGAAAUGCGCAGAAUAUCAGGAGGAACACCGGUGGCGAAGGCGGUGGUCCUGGGCCG